GUGCUUGCUUCAGCAGCACAUAAUCUAAAAUUGGAACUAUACAGAGAAGAUUUGCAUGGUCCCUGCUCAAGGAUGACAUGCAAAACAUGAAGCAUUCUAUAUUUGU